AUGCUGUUUUGUCUAAAUAUUUCUUUUGGCAUACUUAUAUUGAACUCUGUAUGUCCUGAAAUUAUGACAAACCUGUCACUUUCCCCACAUUUUCCUGCUUUUUACUAUGACCAACCAGCUAAAGUCCAGGAAGAGAUUGACCGUGUGAUUGGCAGACAUCGCAGCCCCUGCAUGCAGGAUAGAAAACACAUGCCCUACACAGAUGCCAUGAUUCAUGAGGUACAGAGAUUCAUUGACUUUGUCCCGACCAACCUGCCCCAUGCAGUGACCUGUGACAUUAAAUUCAGGAACUACCUCAUCCCGAAGGGAACAAAAGUGUUAACAUCACUGACAUCAGUGCUGCAUGACAGCAAGGAGUUCCCCAACCCAGAGAUGUUUGACCCUGGCCACUUUCUAGAUGAGAAUGGAAACUUUAAGAAAAGUGACUACUUUUUGCCUUUCUCAGCAGGAAAACGAGCUUGUGUUGGAGAGGGCCUGGCCCGCAUGCAGUUGUUUCUAUUCUUGACAACCAUUUUACAGAACUUUAACCUGAAAUCUCUGGUUCACCCAAAGGACAUUGAUACGAUGCCAGUUCUGAAUGGUUUUGCCUCUCUGCCACCCACUUACCAGCUCUGCUUCAUUCCUUCCUGAAUAGAUCAGGCAUUUUGGCUUCUACUGUGUUGCCUUCUGCAAUCCCCUUCAGGUUUUUAUCCAGUCCCUUCCCUCUAUCAUCCAUCCUGACUCUUGUCUUAAGAUCCAGAAAGCACAUGCAGUUUCUGGAGUUAUAGCACAAAUCCACUUGUAUUAUCUCUUUCAUAUAACAAUUUAUGAUCCCUUGUGUCAUUGUGUAUCCAUUCCUGAGUUAAAAUAAAGCUUCACUAUAAAAUAAUAAUUAUCAUAAUUCCUAGUUAUUUUUUAUUUUGCAUAUUUUCAAUAAUAUUUAUACUUUAUUUGUGUACCUGCUCUAAGACUUGCUUAAAAUUUAUGUAAUAAAUUGGCAACUUAACACAUCCUUCAGGUCUACAUCAAAAGAAGCAUAGAGAAUGCAAGAGAAACUGUUAGGGAAUAUAUAUUGUUUUCUAAACUGCUUUCAGCUGUAUACAAUCU
rnacentral:lncRNA from 14 species